UGCCUGGACACUGUCCCUCAACCAUGCUCUGCUUUCCAGAGUAAAACCAUCUGGAUAUCUGAGCCGGGAGAUAGGGGAUAUGCCCUGCACAGGAUCCUCUCAUGUGAAGAAAGGAUCUCUGCAGCUCACGAGACUGCCUCGAGGCACACCUAACUGGUGCUGCCCACAAGCAGGGUCCUUUCGAUUUCAGGAGCAUCUGUGGAGCGCAUGAAAGACUCUGAGUAAUCAGAAGAUGGAAAAUUGAUGUCAGAAGAGCAGCCUGUGUUCCCUGUGCCUGGUGACAAGCUCUGCCUGAAUGCAGCUAAGCCACAGCUAUGUCAAUCUGGAUCUUCAUAUCCAAGUAAUUAUGAAAUCUCCAGAGCCAAGAACUCUUCAAAUCAGACAUAUGCAUCACAGCAAAAUAUUAGUUCAGCAAACACGACACAAUAUAGCA